UACAAAGUGUGCUGUUAGAAAGGGAGUGAGCAUAAGGGGCAACGAUAUGAAGGACAGAGAGGACCAAUUUAGAUGGCAGAGGGCCUCCCUAAGCAGGUGACAUGUAAACCAUGCCCUGAAGGAUAAAAGGUCACAGAGGCUCAGAGGGUGUGACUCAACCAGGAUUAUGCAACAAUAGGUGGCAGAGACAGGACUAGACCCUGGUAUCCUGCCCCCCAAGCCCAGUGGGAUUUCCACAUCAUUCCCCCCACCCCCUGCCUCCCACUCCCUGCACUGCUGCCUUCCUGAUGGGUUCCAGAAGUUGUUGAGGUCGGUGGGAGGGAAGUAGAGGGCAGGCGUGGUGACACCUACAAAUUUGGGCAAACCUUCUGGCUCCAGCUCUGGCCCUGGCCCAGAACAAGGGAAGGAAAUGCUGUCAACAGUCCAGAUGCUGUCAUCUGCCUGUGAUGCCUGGAACGGCAGCUGCCAAUUUUAGGACUUUGAGGAAGGAGCCUAAGAGGGUAUUGCCAUACACUGGAGAUGGCAGAGCACAAGUGAGGAUGGAACCAGUGUCCUUGAAGACAUAACCAAGUCCCUGUAUUAACCAGUCUGGAUUACCUUGCCCUUGGACUUCUCAUUAUGUGAAAGAAAAAUUGUCCUCAUUGUUUAA